UUGUCAAUAUUCUGAGUCUUUAGGUACCACACCCAGAGCCAGUAGCAACUUACUUGGGAUCACACAAUUACAGGUAACCAUAGAAACUUGUACUGUGCAGCCCUGGUCUGGAGCACGCAGAGGUGGACUGAAGAGAGCCAUCAGUGACAGGAUGGGGUUAAAUAGCCCAGGGACUUGUACUGGCAGGACAGUGAUACCAAGUGUCAGAGUCUUCCUACCACAUUCAGCAGGAUAUUUAUUACAACAACAGAGACACAAUUAGAUACUCUUCAGCACACCACACUGUACCUACGCUCUUCUACCUCUAAACCCUCGGUCAAGAUUCCAAGACUGGGAAACUGUGAUGCUUGUUGUCCUCAACUUCAUGAUCAACAGAGAAAUUCAUCUUCUCAACUUGUAUGCCAUUCAAAAGCAACUUAAUGGUUGAAGACAUUUCAUGACACUUUGAAAUAUCCAUGAGACAAUGUUGCACAAAAAUAUCAAAUAAUUUAAGAAUAAAUGUAAUUUUAGAAAAACAAGUCAGAUAGAGCAUGUUAUAAUGUUAAUACUGAUUAUUUCUAGUUGGGAAUAUUGUUCCUUCUCUCAUUUAUUUUAUAGAUUUCAUAUUAUCAUUAAUAAGUCUAUAUUGCUCUCAUGGCAAGGUAAAAUCAAAACUGCUAUUAAUUUGGGACAAAAAUAAGAAAAACUUAUCUAUCAAGAUAAGAAGCAUGAAGAAGGUAGCAGAAAAAUAUUGUAUUGUCAAGUUUGUUGGGGAAUAUAAUAAAGAGAACAUCAAAUUCU